UACGGAGGGUGCGAGCGUUGUCCGGAAUCACUGGGCGUAAAGGGCGCGUAGGCGGUGACUUAAGCGUGUGGUGAAAGCCCGGGGCUCAACCCCGGGUCGGCCGUGCGAACUGGGUCACUCGAGCACUGUAGAGGCAGGUGGAAUUCCGGGUGUAGCGGUGGAAUGCGUAGAGAUCCGGAAGAACACCAGUGGCGAAGGCGGCCUGCUGGGCAGUAGCUGACGCUGAGGCGCGACAGCGUGGGGAG
rnacentral:rRNA from 1 species